rnacentral:rRNA from 1 species
UACGUAGGGACCAAGCGUUGUCCGGAUUUACUGGGCGUAAAGAGCGCGCAGGCGGUCGUUCAAGUCGCGUGUGAAAGCCCCCGGCUCAACUGGGGAGGGUCACGCGAUACUGAUCGACUCGAAGGCAGGAGAGGGAAGUGGAAUUCCCGGUGUAGUGGUGAAAUGCGUAGAUAUCGGGAGGAACACCAGUGGCGAAGGCGACUUCCUGGCCUGUUCUUGACGCUGAGGCGCGAAAGCUAGGGGAGCAAACGGG